CCCCCCUCUAAUCAGUGAAACUGAUCUCCCCGUGAAGAAGCGGGGAUAUACAUAUAAGACGAGAAGACCCCAUGGAGCUUUAAACCUGACAGCACCCGCUCAUUCUAUACCCCAUUAUUUGCCCGACCCCUGUCUGCUCAGUUUUAGGUUGGGGUGACCACGGAGUAUAAAAUAACCUCCAUGAAGAAGGGGAUAUUUCCCUUAUUAGAGAACCACACUUCCAAGAACUAAUAAAUUAAUUUUCAAUGACCCGAUACCAGAUAAUCGAUCAACGAACCAAGUUACCCUGGGGAUAACAGCGCAAUCCACCCUGAAAGCCCUUAUUAACAGGUGGGUUUACGACCUCGAUGUUGGAUCAGGGUAUCCCAGUGGUGCAGCAGCUACUGAGGGUUCGUUUGUUCAACGAUUAAAACCCU
rnacentral:rRNA from 1 species